GCUACUUCAUGUGAAUACAAACAGUCUGAAGGAGCUUUUGAAUUCUUUACAAACCUGCAUCUGGAACACAAUGAAUUGGAAACCUUAAAAGAUGGAUUGUAUUUCCAAAACAUGAGCACAAAUGUGAAUAUUCAAGCAAAUAGAAAGAAUGAAUCAGCCACUUUCCUGGAAUCUGAUGUUAUGCCACAGGGGUGCAGAAUUUGAUGGCAUUAAACAAACAGUGACAACAGAAACAGAAUGCCUUUAUAAUGCUCAUCACUGUGCCAGCUAUUCAGGUCCUGGCAAAGGCCCUGGUCACCAACCCAUGAAAUUAAUGAACUUUCAUCUCUGCCUCCACUGAGUAUACUAUUUUAUUCUGGCUAAGAAAAGUGGCUCUCCAGCUGGACAUAGGGCUAUAUUACUUUACAUUUUCGGGAAGAUGCCACAGAACAAUGUAAAAAUAAAAUAU